UGUUUCCGUGAAACAGAGAAUGUUACAAUCUCUGACGUCUCUCUGAAAGGCAACCUUUGCUCGAAUUUCAUCUACCUUGUUGUCAAGAGACUGGACAUUGGCGAGUAGUAUACUCGUGAGCGAUGUGCCGGUCUACAGAGCCUGACCAGAAGACCGCUCCGUUUGCACCUUCUGCGGCGCCGUUGUUUUGGGUCGCCUACUGGGAUCCGAUCCAUUGUCCUGGGUGGUGGUCCAAACAGAGGAUCUGCUUCGGGAAAGUCGUAUUCCUGGUCGUAAUGUUGGUGUGAAGCGGCUUUCGGCAACCUUCCUGGAGACGACAAGAAGGGAUCCUGGUGUUCACAAUCAUCCAGUUUAAACCAGCCAGCUAUGAGGACUACGUGUAUCCCCAAUGGGCUCAGAUUGUCUGGGUCAUCGCCAUGGCGUCCAUCAUCUGGAUCCCCCUCAGAGCUCUUCUCACACUGUGGGUUCUGCCUGGCUUAAUCAAUGAGAUACUGAAUUACUAUAUACUCAUCUGUCAGUCUCUAUCUCUCUCUCUCUCUAUUCAUCUACCUACCUAUAGCAUUAUUGCAACUUUACUACAACACCUUGCAGCCUCCUCUAGAGGUUCUGGUGUAAUGGCUAAGCUAAGGUGUUGGACAGAAUUCCAUUUUUAUGUCCUUUUUGCCAUGUUUUAUUAAAGUUUUGUCUUCCUCCCCCGAGAGAUUAGUAAAGUUAAUCACCCCCUAUUCACCGGAGAAUGAGAAGUCAAAAGUACCACACUACCUGGAGAUGGGAAGACAGACAUACCCAAACAUAGCAGUCAUCAGCUGCUUUGCUCCUCUACCAGAGAAGCCUCACAUUCAGACAAACCUCUGAUACUGACUCUCCCUACUGAUAGCCUCUGUGCCUGUGAGGUAGGGAAUAUGAUAGGCUUGGAGAGCCAGGUGAGGGUUCACUCUGUAUGUUGAGCUUGAUUCACAUUGGGACUGGAAACCAAACCUUGGACUGUCUGUGGCCUCAAGAACUGGCCACUAUUGGUGUCACUUGAGACUUAUACAGUAUUACAGAUUCAUCAAUGGGGACGUGGCUUGUUCUCCAAGUGAAUGUCAAGACCUUUUUUUUAACACUAUUAUAGUCAAUAAUGUGAAAACAAAUACACAAAAUUGAUAUUUUAUAUUCAAGAAGCUUACCUACCUCUGUUUUGAGUCGUCAGAAUGGAAUAUGAUGAGGAGUGGGUAGUGGUAAACAUGACGCAUAGACCUUAACUAACAUGUCCAUAUGUUGCACUGUCUGAGCUUUGGUAUUAUGUCACGUUUAAAAAAAAUAUGCCACAUGUUGCCAUGGAUAAUCUAAGUCAAUGAUCUUAGAACUGGUUGUUAGGCUACAUAUUAUAUAUUAUGUAAAAUAUCCUUUGCAAUCUGACAAAGGGUUACGUUCCGUGACUCAUAAAUGAUAAGUUACCGUUGUAAAAUGAUUGUAAAUGAUACAGUAUAUCAACAUUUGUUUGAUAUACUGUAUAUUAAAAAAAUACUAAAAGAAACUGUUUGAAAGGAAAUUUAAUCAGGCAUAAUUAUGUCAAGUAUUAUAAAACCUCAAAAUAAUCAGGAUAUUGUCAUUGGAGUAGGAUAAAUACUGUACAACUCCUGUCAUGUUGUGUAAAGCAAAAAUAAAAAAGCCAACCGACUCCAAGUCC